GGCAGGGUACAGCUCAGUGGUAGAGUGUGUGCUUAGCAUGCAUAAGGUCCUGGGUUCAAUCCCUAGUACUUCCA
rnacentral:tRNA from 1 species